rnacentral:rRNA from 1 species
GACGAACGCGGGCGGCGUGCUUAAUACAUGCAAGUGGGACGCAAGGAAACACACUGUGCUUGCACACCGUGUUUUCUUGAGUCGCGAACGGGUGAGUAACGCGUAGGUAACCUGCCUAUAGCGGGGGAUAACUAUGGGAAACGAUAGCUAAUACCGCAUAAUAUUAAUUAUUGCAUGAUAAUUGAUUGAAAGAUGCAAGCGCAUCACUAGUAGAUGGACCUGCGUUGUAUAAGCUAGUUGGUAAGGUAAGAGCUUACCAAGGCGACGAUACAUAGCCGACCUGAGAGGGUGAUCGGCCACACUGGGACUGAGACACGGCCCAGACUCCUACGGGAGGCAGCAGUAGGGAAUCUUCGGCAAUGGACGAAAGUCUGACCGAGCAACGCCGCGUGAGUGAAGAAGGUUUUCGGAUCGUAAAGCUCUGUUGUAAGUCAAGAACGUGUGUGAGAGUGGAAAGUUCACACAGUGACGGAGCUACCAGAAAGGCGCAUU